rnacentral:rRNA from 1 species
UACGUAGGGGGCAAGCGUUGUCCGGAAUCAUUGGGCGUAAAGCGCGUGUAGGCGGCUCGAAAAGUCUGGUGUGAAAACUUUCGGCUCAACCGGAAGCUGUCACUGGAUACUGUCGGGCUUGAGUCCGGAAGAGGAGUGUGGAAUUCCUGGUGUAGCGGUGGAAUGCGCAGAUAUCAGGAGGAACACCAAUGGCGAAGGCAGCACUCUGGUAUGUGACUGACGCUGAGACGCGAAAGCGUGGGGAGCAAACAGG